ACAGCAGUAGCCACGGUAAUACGGAGGGCGCGAGCGUUACCCGGAUUUACUGGGCGUAAAGGGCGUGUAGGCGGCCUGGGGCGUCCCAUGUGAAAGGCCACGGCUCAACCGUGGAGGAGCGUGGGAUACGCUCAGGCUAGAGGGUGGGAGAGGGUGGUGGAAUUCCCGGAGUAGCGGUGAAAUGCGCAGAUACCGGGAGGAACGCCGAUGGCGAAGGCAGCCACCUGGUCCACUUCUGACGCUGAGGCGCGAAAGCGUGGGGAGCAAACCGGAUUAGAUACCCCGGUAGUCCCUGUCUCUUAUAC
rnacentral:rRNA from 1 species